UUGGACAAACUUAAAUUUUAGUCCAUUCUCCAUGCCCAUGCUCCUGCCUUCAGAGGUACCAGAUGGGUCCAGUUCUGAGGCAACAGAAUUAGAAUUUAACACCUGGAAAGGUAGCUGUAUUCGUGUUCUCCAGAGAGACAGAAAUAGGACGCAUGUAUGUAUGUAUGUUUGUAGGAACAAGACCGAGGUUCAGCAAGGAAGAGGCUGAAGGAUAAGGCGAUCUGCUUGGAUUUUCAGUGUGAUUCUGGGAAAACACUUUGAAGAAUGCUGUCAAUCUAUUCCAUAUUCCAACUAUCAAACUUAGAAUUCUAACUUAGAAUUUUUUAUGGUAGAGUUAUGAUUUUAAUUUGUUUAUUAAGUACACAAAGUUUUUUUUAAUGACAAAGGAAAAGAGAAGUAAUAAAAUUUUCAACUGUGAAA